AGAGAGAGACAUGCGCGCAUAUCAAUAAGCGGAGGAAAAGAAACUAACAAGGAUUCCCUUAGUAACGGCGAGUGAAGCGGGAAGAGCUCAAAUUUGAAAUCUUCAAGGUUUUACCUUGACGAAUUGUAGUUUAAAGAAGUGUUUUCUGCUGAAGUUUUGGUAAAAGUUCUUUGGAAUAGGACAUCAUAGAGGGUGAGAAUCCCGUAUUUGACCAUUAUUUUCAGCUUUGUGAUACACUUUCAAAGAGUCGGAUUGUUUGGGAAUGCAGUCCAAAAUGGGUGGUAAAUUUCAUCUAAAGCUAAAUAUUGGCGAGAGACCGAUAGCGAACAAGUACCGUGAGGGAAAGAUGAAAAGAACUUUGAAAAGAGAGUUAAACAGUACGUGAAAUUGUCAAAAGGGAAGCGUUUGACACCAGUGUUGUUUUCUCGAAAAUCAAUUAAAAAUGGCUCGAUUUUGUAUUGCUUGAGACCUUAAAAGCUCACUGUACAUUUUUCGUGUCUUUUUUAAUGCACUUUUCGUUUAACAAGUCAACAUCAGUUUCUUUUGCUGUAAAAGGGUCAUUGGAAGGUGGCUUUCUUUUCGGAGAAAGUGUUUAUAGCCUUUGGCCUCUGCAAUCGGAGAGACUGAGGUCUGCAGCGUAGACUCUUCGGGGUUAGAUACAUUUGUGCUAAGUUAUAGCUUUUUAUAGACAACUUGUUGACUAUAAUUAGUCUUGUAGCUUACUCGCUUAUGCUAUUUUACCUACGCUUAGGAUGUUGAAGAUGUAGCACAUCAU
rnacentral:rRNA from 1 species